UUCAGGCUUGCCAGUUCCUCCUUCAAGAUCUCCAUCAGAGCUAAUGGACAACACGUUUUGUCCCUGAGGAGAAGGAUCCAGGCUGUUCACAUCAGUGCAGGACAGGAAGAUGAGAAACAGCAGAUUCUUUCCCCCAUCCCACUGGGGGUAAGUGAGCAAGUGCCUGUGUGGUGCUCAUUUGACAGCCAGGGUUAAAACGCAACAACUGAAUAGAAGUUUUCCCUCCAUGAGGACACCCAAGCAGAAGCCCAGGCUGCCCAGAGAGUAUUACAGGCAGAGAGAAAGAAUUGCAGCAUGGCUGCCUGAGGGAGGAUGAAAGAGCAUGUCCCUCACACUGGGAUGGAAAAACCCUUCUGUUGGGUCUGCGUGUCACCGAAAGGACUGAAUAGAUGGACAGUGAAGAUAGGCACCAGUAACUCAGAAAAGUAUGAGCUUUCACGCAGUAAGUUUUAAAUGUAGCUAGGUGCCCGGCGCUGGCAACACUUUCGAUUUCUUCUUGCUAAUUCGCGCUUGAUGCCCCUGCUCAUUCCCACGCGGCUUCUCCCGCAGGCAGAGCUUUACUGUGGGCGCCAGGGAGCGCAGGACCAGGGGUUGCUCCCCGGUCUCCACCACGAGAGGUCCCCCCAGUCCCGCAAGCCGCGGCUCCUCUGGGCUGUUGAGCGAGCCGCUCAGUCAGACUCGGGUGCCUAAAAUUGACCUUGAAAUUAACUGUGAGACAUGAUUUAUUAUCUCACCUCACUGAAUGCAUUCUCAGAAUGAAUGCAGAAAGCGGAGUCUGCUCGUAGCCUGUCCACCAAAGUGUGCAGUUGUGUUUGGAGUUUUUUUCCAUGAGAAAAUACUUACAAUAACAGUAUUGCAAAUUCCUGUCUCGUUGCCUCAUCUUUGUGGUUAUAUAUCCCUGUGUUUCAAAGACUGAAAUUGUUCUUUUAAUAGACUGCAAGUUGAACAUAACAGAGGUAGAAGUAGAAAAAAUGGCAUUGACCAAAUGCUCGGGGUAACUCAGAAAAAAAUAUCCCAUCUCUGAUGAGACCUCAAAUAAACCCAGUUACUAUCACUUCCCUCCAAAGAUACUUUUAAAAUUGUAAUGGAAGUCAAAUGUAUUGAUGCCGGUGGGGACCCAGAGUGAACAGAUGUGACUCUUUUCACACAGUGUUUGCCAUAUCACUAAAGCAUAUUCUGAGCUGUGUUUUGGUAGUCAUAGAGAUGACUUCAGGCAUGGGUGUGCUCCUGCCAAAUUGUUAGCAUGAAUCAUGAUUCAUGGUAGUGAAAGCGACACAUAUCUGUGCAAUAUUCAUCCACAUGAAAGGCCAGCGCAGGCAAUAGCGUAUUAGCAAAACCUAGUGUUAGUUUUGUCAAUGCUGCAUCUAAGUGGUUGUCACACAUCUUUUUUUAAAACAAUUUAAAAGUCAUAUAGGAGGCCAACUUGUUGCAAAUUAAUCACCACUGCAGAAGGGAAUGGCGAGGGACAGGUUGGCCUAGUUUUACAGUUAGAAAGAACCAGGGGCUAAAUUUGGUAGGACUGUGCCCUAGCCUUAAUCUAACAAAGCAUGCAUUUAAUUUUAAGUUCAUAAGCUAUUCACUGACAUCAGUAUGGUUAUUCGCAUGUUUGAAAUUAAGCACUUGUAAAAAUGCCAUGGAGGAUUGGACCUCUCCCUUCAGUGCUCCCAGAGUGUUCACACAAUAGUGCCCUUUGUAGUGUCUGAAAAUCUGGUUCCUCCACUUCCUUUGCCUGCAGUGAUACUGCAUAAUAUGAGAAGCAGGUCUUUUUGGGCCCAGUCCUGCUGUGAACUCCACUUAGGCAGAUGUGAAAGCCAUAAAGAGUCUUUCUCUUUAGCCCAAGCCUCUUAAACGCUGUCUGCACCAAGUGCAGUGAUGAAUCCAGGUGCCUGUUGCCCUCUCUCCCCGUCAAGCUGAGUCUCACAGUGGCAAAACUAUUUCAGCCUGGUGAUUCAAGAUCACUGCUGCAUCAGGGGAACAGCUUAGCUUCAUAAAACUUACACAGUGCCUUGUCAUGACAAAAUACAGUUUAUUUACAGCCUCCAAAAUUCUGUGAAUUCUGAUUAGAACACUGAAAGAACACAGUUCAGUAGACUUAAAUGUUUGUUUUCUUAAGCUUCCUAAAAAUCUUGCUUCAUUCCCAGACAGAAAAUGUUCUGUAAGUAUAUAGUAUCGUUAGCAAGUGAAACUGCUAAAUUAGCCUGAAUGUGAAUAUUGAUGCUUCAGUAACAUACCUCAGUGAUGUACUGCAAUACACAAAGCAGGGUGCAUGUAUUUGCAUGCAGCUAAUCAUAAAUGCAUAUGCUUUAACACUAGAUGACCUGGGGGGAAAUGAGGUAACCUUGUAAGUGGCUGAUUAGAAAGGAAAAAUGUUAUCCUGUCAUUAACAACUACUGAAGAGGGGAAUAAAUUUCCAGACCAAAGACAUGAACUAAAAGAAUUUGAGUUACUUUCUGAUGCUAGGUAUAUCAGGCAUUUGGACAGUGGCCAUCAUUACAAAACUACUGUGUAGUGAGCCAGGACUCAUGUUCAUUGUGUAACUGUCACCACGAAGGAGUGAGUGAGGAGUGCCCUUCCCAAAAGGCACUAAUACAACAGUUUGCAUGGGCUCAUGUUGGAAAUCAGUCAUGCAGUAAGUUACAAG